GACGAACGCUGGCGGCGUGCUUAACACAUGCAAGUCGAGCGGUAAGGCUCCUUCGGGAGUGCACGAGCGGCGAACGGGUGAGUAACACGUGAGCAAUCUGCCCUUCUCAUCGGAAUAACCAUUGGAAACGAUGGCCAAUGCCGAAUACGACUUCCUUUCGCAUGUCAGGAAGUGGAAAGCUCCGGCGGAGAAGGAUGAGCUCGCGGCCUAUCAGCUUGUUGGUGAGGUAAUGGCUCACCAAGGCGACGACGGGUAGCCGGCCUGAGAGGGUGACCGGCCACACUGGGACUGAGACACGGCCCAGACUCCUACGGGAGGCAGCAGUGGGGAAUAUUGGACAAUGGGCGAAAGCCUGAUCCAGCAACGCCGCGUGAGGGAUGACGGCCUUCGGGUUGUAAACCUCUUUCAGCAGGGACGAAGCGAAAGUGACGGUACCUGUAGAAGAAGGACCGGCCAACUACGUGCCAGCCGCCGCGGUAA
rnacentral:rRNA from 1 species